rnacentral:rRNA from 1 species
AUUCCAGCUCCAAUAGCGUAUAUUAAAGUUGUUGCAGUUAAAAAGCUCGUAGUUGGAUUUCUGGUGCAUUCCACUGGCCUAUUGGUUAACUCCAACUUGGCUCAUUUGGAAUACGCCAUCUUUAGGCAGACCCGUCGUGGCAUUAGGUUGUCGUGAUGGUUACGCCUAUCGUUUACUGUGAAGAAAUUAGGGUGUUCAAAGCAGGCUUAUGCCAUGAAUACGUUAGCAUGGAAUAAUGAGAUAGGAUUUCGGUACUAUUUUGUUGGUUUGUGUACGGAAAUAAUGAUUAACAGGAACAGUGUUGUGGGUAUUCGUAUUUCGUUGUCAGAGGUGAAAUUCUUGGAUUUACGAAAGACGAACGACUGCGAAAGCAUUUACCAAGGAUGUUUUCAUUG